CUAUACAUGAACCCAGCCCAGCUGGGCUACUACGGAUCAUACCAUUCCCUGGCCACGGAGGGGGGAGCGAUGGGAGGAGCCAUGGUGACAUCACACUCCAUGAUGGCCCUGAGUGGUCAGCAGCAGAACGGCAUGAUGGGAGGCCAACAGCAAAGCGUUAUGGGUUCUCAGCAGAAUGGAAUGGUGGCAUCACAACAGAAUGGCUUCAUGGCUCAACAGGAUGUCAUGGGGCAAGCAGUCAACACGUCCCCGUUCAUGGCAGGAGUGCCACACAGCAUGAUGAAUCAUCAGCAAAGCAUUAUGGGAGCUCAGCAGAGUGUUAUGAUGGGAGCUCAGCAGAGCGGCAUGAUGGGAGCUCAACAGAGCGGCAUGAUGGGAGCUCAGCAGUGCGGCAUGAUGGGAGUUCAGCAGAGCGGCAUGAUGGGAGCUCAGCAGAGAGGCAUGAUGGGCGCUCAGCAGAGAGGGGCAUGAUGGGAGCUCAGCAGAACGGCAUGAUGGGAGCUCAGCAGAACGGCAUGAUGGGAGUUCAGCAGAGCGGCAUGAUGGGAGCUCAGCAGAGCGGCAUGAUGGGAGCUCAGCAGAGCGGCAUGAUGGGAGCUCAGCAGAGCGGCAUGAUGGGAGCUCAGCAGAGCGGCAUGAUGGGAGUGCAACAUAACGGCAUCAUGGGAGCACAGCAACAAAGCAUCAUUGGACGUCAACAGAAAGGCAUGACGGGCCGAGUGGUGUCCGUGCCUCAGCAGGUACAGCAGGAUCAGUGCGCCAUCACUCAGAUGACCCAGCACAUGGCGGGGGUGAACUUCUACGGCACCAACGCCAUGACGGGAUACGGCAGUCAGCACACUGGCGGACCAAAGACUCAAAGCUCCAACCACAUGACAAAGUCUCACGUCUGGAAGUGAUGUCAUCACCCGAAGAGGAAGUUGAUGUCACUGAGCAGCAGUGGUGCUUGGAAGGUUCUGGGACUUUUCGAAUGAACUUUCCAUCAGACAUUUUAGGGUAACA